CGAUCGAGAAGCAAGGAAGAAUUACUGUAAAAUGUUAUGGUGGACAUUUUUUGUCAAACCUACCUUUAUUGGAAGGUAAUAUGCUUUAUUUAAUAUCAAUCCUUGUAGUAGGGUACUUAGAUUGCCAAUAUAGAUGAAAAUUUAGGACAACGAACCCGAAUUUAAUGCGAUAUUUCGACAUAAAGUUUGUCCUUUUGCUUUGCACGUGGUUCGUUUUAUGGACGAUUGUCGAACUUUAAACCGUGUUUUAAUUCAUUAUUAUUGUCGACUAAGUGAGUUAAAAGAGUAACUGAGAUCUAGAAUUGUUUAAGUUGUCUAAAAAAGUUGUUAUCUCUGAGUUCUUGCCGAAACUUUAUAUUAAAUGAGGUAUGCCCGUAGGGAUGAAUAUUAUUUCAUCAGCUUGUAUUAGGUUAGCACUUUUUUCCAUCCAGCAAACCGCCCUAUCGAUUUUCUAAUGUCGUUUUUUAAAUUUUUUUUUAUUAAUUCGGUUAGGGUUAGGGUUGCAGUUAGGGGUUAGAGUAGGGGUAGCGUUUGGGUUAGUUACAUAGCCAUUUAACACCUAUCUUCCAAAAAUGACGUCAGGUCAGUUUGCUGGAUGGAAAAUAGUGCUAAUCCUUGUAUUAUUUCAAUUGUGCGAAAAAAUAUUUAACAAUGGUGUUUUUGUUAAUUUAUAUGCAGAAAAAGCUUUGCAUUAGCAACAUUACCACAUAUUUGAUUCUUGCUUGCAAAACAAAUUCAACUACAAAUAAAACUGAAAAUGCUUGAAAAUGCUAGAAUAAAAUGAAAAUGCUAAAAUCACAAUGCAAACUGGUGUAAAUUUUGAUUGGUGAGGUUCUCGGUAAGGCAUGUACUAAAAGGCGAAAACAUCGAAACAAAACGACCAAAACCAUCAAAACGAAAAGGCCGAAACAGAACGGCCGAAACCACUGAAAAUAUACCCUGAUUCCAGAGGCUCUUUGCGAGGUGAAAGAAACAAGAGGCAAGAAGGAUGAGCCUCUGGUCACAUCGGUUGCAAAUCCCACUUUCACACUUGAUUAGGUUCAGAUUUUGAAUCUUGCAUUUCCAUUUGUAAAAAUAUGUCAAACCGCUUUGGGAAAUAAACAUACAUUACUGUAAGCUAAUUAUAUGGUAUCUAUUAUAGCUAUAAUUAGCUUAUUUCCCAAACCAGUUUGACAUAUUUUUACAAAUGGCAAUGCAAGAUUCAAAUUCUGAACCUAAUCAAGUGUGGAAGUGGGAUUCACAACCAAUGUGACCAGAGGCUCUCCCUUCUCGCCUCUCGUUUUCUUUCACCCAGCAAAGAGCCUCUGGAACCAGGGUACUGAAAAUAUAAAUUAUUAUUUUUAUCUCACUAGCCAAGCUAUUCACACCCUCAAUAAAAUUCUCAUUUUUUUUUGUAGAUGUACAGUGCAAGUUCCAAGAAUUUCACAAGACCUCAUGGUUAUGAAAAAUGGACACAUUCCAAGAUCCUGAAUAAGAGGUAAAUGAUUUUCUAAUUAUUUCUAACCUUAUUGUAUUUCUUGGUCAAUUUUCUUUGUAAUAUAUUAAUUUGUAUCAUGUUCUCAAUAGCGAUUUUUUUAAAUUUUCUAGAUGUGUGUUGCAAGUUCAAAGAAUGGACAUCUCAAGCUGUUGGCUGAAGUGUUUUUGAUCACAAAAAUGAACACUAUCAUUGGAAAGUGUAUAAAAGGUCUUGCAGGGUAAUAUUUUUAUCUUAACGUGAAAUGUUUUGAACAUUAUAUGAUUGCCUGUGAUUCAGUGCAGGCUUUCUUGCCAUCCUACUUUUUCCUACUUUUCUUCAACUUUCCUACUUUUCCUAUUUUUUAUUAAAAAUUGCUUGAUUUUCCUACUUUUUCCUACUUUUUCUCAUAUAAUCCUACUUUUUUUAAGACAGCUUGGGGAGUCAGUAUGUUAUAGCUCCCGUAAUUAGAUCUAUAGGACUCGUAAUUUUUAUUCCCUAUAUUUGUGUCCCAGAUGAUAAGAUCUCAGGAGGAGAAGUACAUUUUCCGAGUAUAUAAUUUCAUAGCAUCUCUAGAAUCAUAAUCAAUAAAUUAAUGAAGACUCUGAAAGUGUCAUUUCCAACGAUCUAGAGAUUCCAUUCCAAAUAUUCAACUCCCCCCCCCAGUUAAUCAAGCAUCAUAUAUACAGGGCC
rnacentral:lncRNA from 1 species